AUUGAACGCUGGCGGCAGGCCUAACACAUGCAAGUCAAGCGGAUGAGUGGAGCUUGCUCCAUGAUUCAGCGGCGGACGGGUGAGUAAUGCCUAGGAAUCUGCCUGGUAGUGGGGGACAACGUUUCGAAAGGAACGCUAAUACCGCAUACGUCCUACGGGAGAAAGCAGGGGACCUUCGGGCCUUGCGCUAUCAGAUGAGCCUAGGUCGGAUUAGCUAGUUGGUGAGGUAAAGGCUCACCAAGGCGACGAUCCGUAACUGGUCUGAGAGGAUGAUCAGUCACACUGGAACUGAGACACGGUCCAGACUCCUACGGGAGGCAGCAGUGGGGAAUAUUGGACAAUGGGCGCAAGCCUGAUCCAGCCAUGCCGCGUGUGUGAAGAAGGCCUUCGGGUUGUAAAGCACUUUUGUCCGGAAAGAAAUCCAAUCGAUUAAUACUCGGUUGGGAUGACGGUACCGGAAGAAUAAGCACCGGCUAACUUCGUGCCAGCAGCCGCCGUAACAC
rnacentral:rRNA from 1 species